GAUAGCCAUAGAUGACUAGUGGAUUGAUGGUGGGGUCGGUAACAACGCGGACAUCAUGAAUUGUUGCGUCGUAUAGUCCUCCCCAAAAAAUGGCUUUCCCCACUAGCAACAAAGCCCCUAACCCUAAAAAGAGUAGGUGAUGUCCUAAAAUCAAGCCAAGUUUUUUGUGGUCGUUCCA
rnacentral:antisense_RNA from 1 species